GGAAACAGAUGCUAAUACCGGAUAACAACACUAGACGCAUGUCUAGAAGUUUAAAAGAUGGUUCUGCUAUCACUCUUGGAUGGACCUGCGGUGCAUUAGCUAGUUGGUAAGGCAACGGCUUACCAAGGCAAUGAUGCAUAGCCGAGUUGAGAGACUGAUCGGCCACAUUGGGACUGAGACACGGCCCAAACUCCUACGGGAGGCAGCAGUG
rnacentral:rRNA from 1 species